GCUUACUGCCAUACCACCCUGAAUGUGCCCGAUCUCGUCUGAUCUCGUAAGCUAAGCAGGGUCAGGCCUGGUUAUUACUUGGAUGGGUGACCGCCUGGGAAUACCAGGUGCUGUAAGCU
rnacentral:rRNA from 1 species